rnacentral:rRNA from 1 species
GAUGAACGCUGGCGGCGUGCCUAAUACAUGCAAGUCGAGCGAACAGACGAGGAGCUUGCUCCUCUGACGUUAGCGGCGGACGGGUGAGUAACACGUGGAUAACCUACCUAUAAGACUGGGAUAACUUCGGGAAACCGGAGCUAAUACCGGAUAAUAUAUUGAACCGCAUGGUUCAAUAGUGAAAGACGGUUUUGCUGUCACUUAUAGAUGGAUCCGCGCCGCAUUAGCUAGUUGGUAAGGUAACGGCUUACCAAGGCGACGAUGCGUAGCCGACCUGAGAGGGUGAUCGGCCACACUGGAACUGAGACACGGUCCAGACUCCUACGGGAGGCAGCAGUGGGGAAUCUUCGGCAAUGGGCGAAAGCCUGACGGAGCAACGCCGCGUGAGUGAUGAAGGUCUUCGGAUCGUAAAACUCUUUUAUUGGGGAAGAACAAAUGUGUAAGUAACUAUGCACGUCUUGACGGUACCUAAUCAAAAAGCCACGGCUAACUACGUG